rnacentral:lncRNA from 10 species
GGUUCACAUCAUAAUGGUUCUUUUGCCAACAGGAGCUGGUAAUCAGGAUGGCAGUGAGGCAGGCACUUGCUUGCAGAAGAACAGGCCUAGUUUUUUAAGAAGCCACAAAAGUGUCUUUGGAUGAUUAGGAUCUAAGGGGCCAACAGCUUUGCAAUAACAGCAUAAAUAUUGUGGGCUGGAUGGACAGGCACCAAAUGGGGACAUUCCAUCCUGCUGUGUGAUGAGAAAGCUGCCACUUUUGAGGCCUUCCAAAACAAAUCAACACUCCAUAUGCCAGAAGGAAAAGCCCAGGAAAGACCUAUUCCAACUGGAGAUGGUGAAUGUCAUUUCUUCAAGAAGCUGAGAUCCAGCUGGUACUGCCAGGAAUACGAAGGGAGAAUGAAACAAAACUGCUCCGCUUAGGGAACUUGGAAAGGAAAUUGAAAAGGCAAGGCACAGGCUGGAAGAAAAUAUUUGAAAAAGAUUUAUGUGAACUUCUUUCUGGAUUAUACAAAAUAUUUUUAGAUAUUCUUACAACUCUAAAAUAAGAUAACUCCUUAAAAAUCUAAAUUCUACCAAAGGAGAGAUAAAGAUGACGAAUACAUUCAAAGAUGCUGAAAAUCACUUAUUUAUUAUUAGGAAGUUACAAGCUAAAGCAUAAUGAGAUACCACUACAACCUACUAAACUGACUAAAAUUAAUCAGACUAACCAGGUGUUGGCAAGAAACAGGG